rnacentral:rRNA from 1 species
ACUUGUUCUUUAAAUGAGGACUAGAAUGAACGGCACUACGAGGGUUAUACUGUCUCCUUUUUCUAAUCAGUCAAACUAAUCUCCCCGUGAAGAAGCGGGGAUACACCUAUAAGACGAGAAGACCCUAUGGAGCUUUAAAUUUUAUUACACUGCUUUAUUACAUCUUUCAAGUCUAAGACUCUCUACAAUUUCUGCAUUUUGAUAAUAAAUUUUAGGUUGGGGUGACCACGGAGAAAAACAUAACCUCCACAUUGACAAAGGCCUCUACGCCUUGAACUAAGAGCCACAGCUCCAAGAAAUAAUAUAUUAACAUUCAUUGACCCAAUACCUCUUGAUCAACGAACCAAGUUACCCUAGGGAUAACAGCGCAAUCCACUUUAAGAGCCCCUAUCGACAAGUGG